rnacentral:rRNA from 1 species
GACGAACGCUGGCGGCGUGCCUAACACAUGCAAGUCGAACGAGGUCCAGGGAAGCUUGCUUCCUGAAGACCUAGUGGCGAACGGGUGAGUAACACGUGAGAAACCUGCCUCGGAGUGGGGAAUAACUCGGGGAAACUCGAGCUAAUACCGCAUACCUUCACAUGAUCGCAUGGUCGAGUGAAGAAAGAAUUUCGCUCUGAGAGGGUCUCGCGGCCUAUCAGCUUGUUGGUGGGGUAACGGCCUACCAAGGCAACGACGGGUAGCUGGUUUGAGAGAACGAUCAGCCACACUGGGACUGAGACACGGCCCAGACUCCUACGGGAGGCAGCAGUGGGGAAUCUUGCGCAAUGGGCGAAAGCCUGACGCAGCAACGCCGCGUGCGGGAUGACGGCCUUCGUGGUUGUAAACCGCUUUCAGCAGGGACGAAAUAGACGGUACCUGCAGAAGAAG